rnacentral:rRNA from 1 species
UACGUAGGGAGCAAGCGUUGUCCGGAAUCAUUGGGCGUAAAGCGCGCGUAGGUGGCCCCGUAAGUCCGCUGUGAAGGUCAAAGGCUCAACCUUUGAAAGCCGGUGGAUACUGUGGGACUAGAGUACGGAAGAGGCGAGUGGAAUUCCUGGUGUAGCGGUGGAAUGCGCAGAUAUCAGGAGGAACACCGGUGGCGAAGGCGGGUCUCUGGGCCGUAACUGACGCUGAGGAGCGAAAGCAUGGGGAGCGAACAGG